GGUGAGAUGGCCGAGCGGUCUAAGGCGCCAGACUAAGGAUCAAAGUAGCUGCUACUUUCGGUGUUAAAACUGUAAUCUGGUCCUCAGGGGCGUGGGUUCAAAUCCCACUCUCAUCA